UACGUAGGAGGCAAGCGUUGUCCGGAAUUACUGGGCGUAAAGCGCGUGUAGGUGGUGGGACAAGUCUGCUGUGAAAGCGCCUGGCUUAACCGGGCGAGGUCGGCGGAAACUGUCCGACUCGAGGACGGUAGAGGGGGGUGGAAUUCCCGGUGUAGUGGUGAAAUGCGUAGAUAUCUGGAGGAAUACCGGUGGCGAAGGCGGCAUCCUGGACCGGCAUUGACGCUGAUGAGCGAAAGCUAGGGGAGCAAACGGGG
rnacentral:rRNA from 1 species